GCACUAGAAGGCGAAAGGCUAGCCGGCUCCCUUUCAAGGAGUUGUAAGCGGGUUCGAUACCCGUCUAGUGUUCCA
rnacentral:tRNA from 1 species